rnacentral:rRNA from 1 species
UGGGGAAUAUUGGACAAUGGGCGAAAGCCUGAUCCAGCCAUGCCGCGUGUGUGAAGAAGGUCUUCGGAUUGUAAAGCACUUUAAGUUGGGAGGAAGGGCAUUAACCUAAUACGUUAGUGUUUUGACGUUACCGACAGAAUAAGCACCGGCUAACUCUGUGCCAGCAGCCGCGGUAAUACAGAGGGUGCAAGCGUUAAUCGGAAUUACUGGGCGUAAAGCGCGCGUAGGUGGUGUGUUAAGUUGGAUGUGAAAUCCCCGGGCUCAAACUGGGAACUGCAUUCAAAACUGACUGACUAGAGUAUGGUAGAGGGUGGUGGAAUUUCCUGUGUAGCGGUGAAAUGCGUAGAUAUAGGAAGGAACACCAGGGGCGAAGGCGACCACCUGGACUAAUACUGACACUGAGGUGCGAAAGCGUGGGGAGCAAACA